rnacentral:lncRNA from 1 species
GAAUGGUCUUUUUUUUGUCUCACGAGCCUAUACAAAUCCAACUACUAUGAUAAUUCAGUUUCUAAACACGUGGAUAAAAUAUCGAUUUGGAGUUCAUGUUGGGGCUUAGUUUGUUUUCCUGCCAUUUACAUAUUGAGUAAUCGAUCCUGACUAGUGAACAAACACAUUGUUCCUAUAUGAAAAAUCAGUUAAUAUCGAUUUUCGCCAUUCUAAACUAAUUUUUCUGAUAUUACUGUUUUUCCUUAUAAACCAUGUGCUAUAAAUAGAAAUAGUAAUGCUCUCUAAUUAUGCAGUCAACCAAUUCAUCCGCUGGAAUACCAACUCAGCUGCAGCUUGGAUUACUGUCCCCACUUUACUUGAGAAGAUUGUUUGAACGUAUAAUGGGUGCUACACAUAUCAAGUUGGGUCAGGGAAAUUCAGAUUCUGGCUUUUUCUUUAAGUCUUGAAUAAUAAUUAAUAACUG